GACGAACGCUGGCGGCAUGCUUAACACAUGCAAGUCGAACGAGCUGAUUCCUUCGGGAUGAAAGCGAGUGGCGAACGGGUGAGUAAUGUAUGAGUAACCUGCCUCUGUCUACGGGAUAACAUUUGGAAACAAGUGCUAAUACGGUAUAAGACCACAGCACCGCAUGGUGCAGGGGUAAAAGAUUUAUCGGACAGAGAUGGACUCAUAUCCCAUUAGCUAGUUGGUGAGAUAAUAGCCCACCAAGGCGACGAUGGGUAGCCGAGCUGAGAGGCUGAUCGGCCACAUUGGAACUGAAACACGGUCCAGACUCCUACGGGAGGCAGCAGUGGGGAAUAUUGGGCAAUGGAGGAAACUCUGACCCAGCAAUGCCGCGUGAGCGAUGAAGGUCAUCGAUUGUAAAGCUCUUUUCCUGGGAACGAAACAAAUGACGGUACCCAGGGAAUAAGCCCCGGCUAACUACGUGCCAGCAGCCGCGGUAAUACGUAGGGGGCGAGCGUUGUCCGGAAUGACUGGGCGUAAAGGGUGCGUAGGUGGUUUAAUAAGUUAGAAGUGUAAUACCCAGGGCUUAACUCGGGUGCUGCUUCUAAAACUGUUAGGCUUGAGUGUAGUAGAGGAAAGCGGAAUUCAAUGUGUAGCGGUGGAAUGCGUAGAUAUAUUGAAGAACAUCAGUGGCGAAGGCGGCUUUCUGGACUAUAACUGACACUGAGGCACGAAAGCGUGGGGAGCAAACAGG
rnacentral:rRNA from 2 species